CACCAUGGCAGCUGCCUUGGCUCGGCUUGGUCUGCGGCCUGUCAAACAGGUUCGGGUUCAGUUCUGUCCCUUCGAGAAAAACGUGGAAUCGACGAGGACCUUCCUGCAGGCGGUGAGCAGUGAGAAGGUCCGCUCCACUAAUCUCAACUGCUCAGUGAUUGCGGACGUGAGGCAUGACGGCUCCGAGCCCUGCGUGGACGUGCUGUUCGGUGGGCUUGGUGGAGAGACGGGCAGGAGGGAACAGCGAGCAGCCCGCGCGCCCCUAAGCCCCAGCACUGCGGUUCCUCCCUCUCUCACUCGUUUGUUUCUUCCCCAGGAGACGGGCAUCGCCUGAUUAUGCGCGGCGCUCAUCUCACCGCUCUGGAAAUGCUCACCGCCUUCGCCUCCCACAUCCGGGCCAGGGACGCGGCGGGCAGCGGGGACAAGCCGGGUGCUGAUACUGGUCGCUGACAGCGCCAAAGAGACCAACAAGAUGAUUUUAGCGUGGACUAGGACACUUAACCUAAGAAGAGUUUCACUUAAUCAUUCAAAUCACUAUCUGGAGGGCCACGGAGCGCAAAAUAAAGUUUAAAACCC
rnacentral:sRNA from 1 species